rnacentral:rRNA from 1 species
AUGGAGAAGGGAGGAAGAGGGCUGUCCUGCCGGGCCGCGGUCUGCGGCAUCGUCGUCCUGCUCUGCGCCACCGCCUUCUCCUGCUCCCUCGCCGCCGAGUUCCGCAGAGUCAAGGACGAGGACAUGAAGCUGGACGGCAGCCUCUGCUCCCUGCCCAAGAGCUCCGCCUUCGAAUUGGGCGUCGCGGCCAUCGCCUUCCUCUCCGUCGCGCAGCUCGUCGGCACCACCGCGGCGGCGACCACCAUGUGCGCCUCCAGCUCCAAGCCCAGCAAGUCCGUCGCCACCAGAGGCCGCGUCGCGCCCGUCGCACUGCUGGCCCUCUCAUGGGUGUGCUUCGCUCUGGCCGUUAUCCUGCUGGCGACGGCGGCGAGCAUGAACAGCGGGCAGCGCUACGGCCGGGGGUGGAUGGACGGCGACUGCUACAUCGCUAGGAACGGCGUGUUCGGCGGCGCCGCCGCGCUGGUCGUCAUCACGGCGCUCCUCAUCCUCGGCCUCACCUUCGCCACCAAAACCGCGGGGGGUGGCUCGAGCACGACGGCGUGCGCAAGAGGAGACGCCGCCCGCACAACUACCAUCCGUGUCGACGCGGCAACAGGCGCGGGCGCGGAACAGCCGGGCAGGCGAUCCAAGCAAUGA